ACCUAAUUAUCUCCUGAAGGUCCCAGCUCCUAAUGCUAUCACAGUGGUGUGGGAAUCUGCUUCCUCCCACAGGAGAAAGAAACACUGUGAUGUAAACAGGUCCUUUGUUAUGAAGAAAAGUAAAGAGGAGAUCUUAGCUGAUUCACAGAAUGAAUGAGCUGCAGAAGUUGAAGGCCUCUUGAUUCUUUGUAUUCUCUGCCCAGUGGAAAGAAAAUAGUGUUGAAAGUAUUAAGACUUUUCUCAGCAGAAAUGUGGACUCAAAGAGCCCAGGAACUGCUCUUUCCCCAUCUGGAGAGAAGUUUGCUAGAAGCAAACCUGCAGGAAUCAUGGCCUCUGUGGUGCCAGCGACCAGAGAUCCUUCUCAUAAACCAGAACCACGACCUGUCUCCAGGCCAGCGCAAUUGCCCUCCUCAGACAUGCCUCAUGUUCCCACAUCUCCCCGUGGCCUCACACACGGCUCCUCAUCCUCAGACACUGGUCUCUCUCUUCUCCAUCCAUGAACUCUUACUUACCCUUCAAGGCCUAGCACACAUGGCCUUUCCUCAAGACACAUACAUUUCUGGUGUCUCUUCCUCUUCUUUCAGAAACACCAGCCUGAUCAGGCUGUGAGUUGAACUCAGCCUCUGAAUCCAGCUCUGCUGCUCCUCAGAGGUCACCCUGUCUAUUCCUGCUGUGACUGACCACUGGCUUUCACCCCUAUGUGCCGAUUUAUGCUGUUCACCAGAGAGUCAAAAGAGACAAAGUGGCCCAAACAUAAUAAGACAACCCACUCAAAACAUUUUCUGUGCUUCCACCUUACUGACUUUUAUCAUAAAUUAGAGAUUUUGAAGAGAAUGAGUCAUAGAAAAAGAAAAAAAAAACCCCAAUAACCUGGUUUGGCAAUCAGCAUAUUAUAUCUCCCCAGUGACUCAUGAUAUCAGAUACAAGUCAGGACAAACAGAGCUCCUGUCAGAGAGAAGCACGGUUAAAAAUAAAAGCAAAAAAUAGGAAGAGGGGAAAAAUCCUUUUUAACUGUACCUAGAACUCUCCCUGCCCUGCAUUCCCUAAUGAAGGUCUUGGGAGGGCAAAUGAUCUGAAAACUUGAGUCAUAAAUCAGGAGGAAGUGACUCCCAGGAAACAAAGAUGCAUGGA